GGUCGCGUAGUUCAGUUGGUUAGAACGUCUGUCUUACACACAGAAGGUCCACGGUUCGAGUCCGUGUGCGACCA
rnacentral:tRNA from 1 species